rnacentral:tRNA from 1 species
GUGGAGGUAGUAUAUAUAAUAUGAAUUUUUGAAAAAAAUUUGAAAUCAUUUUUUUUGUGAUCUUUCACA